CCGCCCAAUCCGCUCUCGGGGCGCCCCCGAAGUCCUUCCGCCGCACGCGGAGGCGUGGCAGAAACGUUCCGACCGCUUCAAGUGGAGGUGGUGGAAGCCUGGAGUUCCCGGGCCGCGGCUUCUCGCAGCUGAUUUCGAGUGCGGUAAGGGACUUACUGUCCCCCCCUUCCAGCUAAGGAAGAGGCUACAGAAGCAUCAUCCCAUCUUGGAAGGUUGGAGUCCCGGUGGCCAUCGAUGCGGGAACUGAGGAGAUGACUUUGCUUAUUUCUAAGAGUUGGCAUGCAGAACGGUAGCAGCUAAACAGGACCUUGCUGUGCAAGUUUUCAGGGACGCCUCUGCUGCUCCCGGUGUUCAUGUAAGGAAUGUUUUAUUGAACACUAAGUUGGGGCCUAAGGCAGUUCUCACCACUGAGAACACAGCAGUGAAAAAAACGGACAGAAAUCCUUGGCUUCCUGGGGUUUUCUUCUAUGGAGACAGUUGUCAAGAAAAACAGAUUCGAUGAAAUGGUGAUAGUGGCAUUGAGUAAAAUGAAGCAUGAAAGGAGGAAUGGGCGGCUGUAUUAAAUCGCGUGGUCAGAGGAAUUCGCACCAGGACAGUUGAGCCACCAGCAUAAUGAGAGAGGGAGUUGACCAUGCUGAUAUUAGGGACGAUCAAGAUCUCUCCAGGUAUUGCUUUAUUGGCACCAACAUUAUUUCCCCAUGUGUUCUACUCCCUCAAAAACAAACAAGCCAUCCUGCAUAGUAGUGGAAUGAACAGGCCUGGCUUUAAUAUCAGGCUCUGCCUGACAAGCUGGGUGACCUCAAGCAAGUCACCUAUAAAAUGGGGAUACCUCCACCUACUCUACAGGUUUUAUACAUCACUAGUGGCAACUCCAUAACCAGAAGAUGAGGUCUUAUUGUCUUUAAAAGGGCGAGAGGAAAUUAGUGUUGAUGAUUUUUCCCAAAGUGCCAGUCACCUUCCAUCUUUGACUCCUCUACAGGACUCACUCAAACACCACACUUUUCCCUUUCCCUUCCUCCUAUCCUCCCUGCCUUCUCUCUAUAAACGCCAUGCUUUCUUCUUUUUCUUUUCUUUCCUUCCACUCUGCUGGGAUUCCAAGAUGGGAUGCAUUCCUAACAGCCACAGUCCCAAUCUCCAAGUUUCUCACUUAGGUUUACCACCCUAGAAACUUUUUAAUGGAAAAUCGGGGGGAAAACAGAGGGCUCUCCAAUAAAUUUAAGUUGAAGCAUAUUCGUGGAGAGAAGCCUGAAUCAUUCAGACUUUUAGCAACUAUAAAGUUUACUCUCCUCUGUACAGAUUGUAGUUUUAGACCGUGAGUCAAGUAGGAAUGGUACUAAAGCUAACUGAAAUAUGCAUAAAUCCAUAAUCCCUUGCCUUAAUUAUGACACAAUAUUCUAAUCGUGUACCAAGUAGUAUAAUAAGUGAUCUCACCCAGCCAAAUGUUCCAACUUGUAAAACUAAGGGACAACUAUAACGAAUGGAACAGUUUGUUCUUUGCCCGUCGGUGGUUGGACACCAUCCACAGUGAGGAAAUUCAUGAACAGCUCAGCCAGUGGAAUCAAGCCGAUAUGCAAAGUGUGCAACCUCAAAGGCUGGGAGAGGUGAACCUGCCUAUUCCAGUACCUUUAGAUGGAACUUAAAUCAUUCAAGAGACUCAUUAAACACCUCCAGAAUUUCUUAUAACAGUACCUAAUAAUCCUUAUCUUGAUAUGUAAACUCUAUUCUUUUAAGCAUUUGUUCAUCAUUUAUGAAUAGUCACAGUACCAAGCCUAAUGCAGUGAUGUCUACAAUUCAGAAUUUAAUCUGCACCCAACACAGAUGAAGUACAUAGGGGAUUGGGAUAAUACAUAAACUUUUAAGACACAAUUUGCUUUUUCAAAAGUCGUUUCAAAUUUCACCCUCCAGCUUUGGGAAAUAGAUGUAACUGGUCAUAUUUUUUAUUUACUUUCUGACAAGGACUGGUCUAAGUUACACAUUAACUACCUUCAUUUAACUAGAUUAGGUACAGAUAUCUUUCAAAUAAGCAAAAUGAGACACAGGAAGGCUAGGUAAUUUGCCCAAGGUCACACAUAAACACAGUAAUUGCUGGAGGGCAAAGCAAGACCACUUGCAGGAAA